rnacentral:lncRNA from 1 species
UAAUUGAAAUAAUAUUCGAAAAUAUUACCUCAACUAACCAAGAUAGCCAUCGUUACACCCUUAGCUUAGCUCAGUCACUCAGGUGUGUGUUCGUCUUGUCCUAACCUCAGAUAUGAACUAUGAAAAUUGGAAUGGAAGCAAACAAAACAUAGUUUUUAACUAAUCAUGUUUAUUGUUCAUAAAGAUAUAAUAAAUAAAAUGACUUAUUAAAUUGCAUUAACAAAUGUAUUCAAAUUCUUGCCAAAAACUAACAAUUCUGGAUUAUACUUAUGGCUUUUGGUAGCUGAUGGUAUCUUCUUGAUGUCGUAUGGUACUGCUGUGGACUUCUCUUGACCUGGGCAGAUGUUGAGGCCCUAGGUCAGUGCAGCAAAAGAUGUUCAGUGUUGCAGCCUAGAUUUCAUGGUCCAUUGUUGUGGUAUAGCCCUAGUUCCAUCACCGGUGUGGAUGGCUUGAAGCUCCCGGAGGGAGGACUGUGAU